rnacentral:vault_RNA from 13 species
GGGCUGGCUCUAGCUCAGCGGUUCCUUCGUCUACAUGCAUCAGACCUAACCACCAACUCGUUGGUGGUUCGCGACCCGCGGGCGCUCUCCAGUCCUUUU